AAUAUAGUAUUAUACACAUGCCCUACUAGAACAUUCUAAAUGUGUGAACCAGGAUGGAACCACCUUGCAAUCAGACUGAAAGGGUGCUCUUUGCCUCAGCCACACUGGUCACGAUUGGCAACGACAAGAAGGCUUUGUUCUUUUUUUCUUUCUAAACAAAGAUACAUGCAUUAUUCAGUUCCAAAUUGAGAAAGCCCACAAUAGGCAGAGUACAGAAGGUUCGCCAUAAAGGCACGAAACCAAGGGAGUUCAACCAAACAUAAAACAUCUAGGAUAUUUACAGAGCCGGAACACCCUACAAGAGCACACAUGCUUGGAUACACGAGAAGUCACACACAACCGCUCUAAGUAACAAUGAUAGGAUAUCUAGCAAUGCUAUGAAUGUGACAGAGAUUGUUCGUCGCCGGCUGCAUGCCCCCAGAGUCCGGGUGCUUCCCCAACGACACCCAUUGCUGCAAUAACAAAAGGCAUUUAAAAAAUCAGCAGUCUGAGCCGAAAAAAUGACCUUGAUAGUAAUUUUGUUAUGAAUAUGCCAAUGGCCCAUAGAAGAACCCC
rnacentral:lncRNA from 1 species